GAUGAACGCUGGCGGCGUGCCUAACACAUGCAAGUCGAGCGGACGGACGCGACGCUUGUGUCUCUGAUGUUAGCCGCGGGCGGGUGAGUCACGCGUGGAUCCCCCCCUUAUCUGACUGGGAUCACCACGGGACACCGGCUCUUACACGGUAGAAUAUUCUGCACCGUAGUGUUCAUUGGAGAAUUACGGCGUUGGGGUCUCGACUCGAGACUUAUGAGCUGGAUUAGCUAGUUGGGAGGGUCACGGCCUAUCACGGCAACGAGGCAUAGCCGACCGGAGAGGGUGAUCGGCCACACUGGAACGGGGACACGGUCCAGACUCCUACGGGAGGCAGCAGUAGGGAAUCUUCGGCAAUGGGCGAAAGCCUGACGGAGCGACGCCGCGUGAGUGAUGAAGGUCUUCGGAUCGUAAAGCUCUGUUAUGGGGUAAGAACAUAUGUGGAAGGAACUGUGCACAGCGUGACGGUACCUAAUCAGAAAGCCACGGCUAACUACGUG
rnacentral:rRNA from 1 species